rnacentral:rRNA from 1 species
AACGAACGCUGGCGGCAUGCCUAACACAUGCAAGUCGAACGAGACCUUCGGGUCUAGUGGCGCACGGGUGCGUAACGCGUGGGAACCUGCCCUUAGGUUCGGAAUAACUCCCCGAAAGGGGUGCUAAUACCGGAUAAUGUCUUCGGACCAACGAUUUAUCGCCUUUGGAUGGGCCCGCGUUGGAUUAGCUAGUUGGUAGGGUAAAAGCCUACCAAGGCGACGAUCCAUAGCUGGUCUGAGAGGAUGAUCAGCCACACUGGGACUGAGACACGGCCCAGACUCCUACGGAAAGCAGCAGUGUGUAAUAUUGGACAAUGGGCGAAAGCCUGAUCCAGCAAUGCCGGGUAAGUGAUGAAGGCCUUAGGGUUGUAAAGCUCUUUUACCCGGGAUGAUAAUGACAGUACCGGGAGAAUAAGCGCCGGCUAACUACGUG